AUUGAACGCUGGCGGCAGGCCUAACACAUGCAAGUCGAACGAGUGGCGGACGGGUGAGUAAUGUCUGGGAAACUGCCCGAUGGAGGGGGAUAACUACUGGAAACGGUAGCUAAUACCGCAUACCAUCGGAUGUCCCCAGAUGGGAUUAGCGAGUAGGUGGGGUAACGGCUCACCUAGGCGACGAUCCCUAGCUGGUCUGAGAGGAUAACCAGCCACACUUGAACUGAGACACGGUCCAGACUCAUACGGAAGGGAGCAGUGGGGAAUAUUGCACAAUGGGAGCAAGCCUGAUGCAGCCAUGCCGCGUGUAUGAAGAAGGCCUUCGGGUUGUAAAGUACUGUCAGCGGGGAGGCGUUACCCGCAGAAGAAGCACCGGCUAACUCCGUGCCAGCAGCCGCGGUAAUUC
rnacentral:rRNA from 1 species